UCAUCCACAGUAGGUCUUAAAGCCAAAAGCAAAGAAGGAUCAAUACCAGAAUAAUCAGAUUUGAAUAACUCCAAAAAAUAAGAUUCAAAAACCUUUCCAACAACGUUCUCAUCUCUUUGCCAGACCCCAUCAUUGUCCAUAAUCCCUUCAAUAAAACUUUUCUUCCUCUUUGUUUGGCAGCUUCAUGCAAGAAAAAAUCUGGUAUUUUUGUCGCCACCUUUCAACCAUAAAACUCUACUUCUCUACUUCCAGAGGGUUCUUGUUUAUCAAGUAAAUCAUUAAACUCCUUUCCGAGCUCAUUCAAUUUCAAAUCCACAUGGUCUGAGUAAGGGAGUGCUUGUAAUCAUUCCAUAUGAUCUCUCAAUUUGUUGAUAGCUGUUGGAAUACUCCCAUUCAAUUGUUUGUUCCAAUGAGAUAGAUCAGUUGCACAUCUAUUUAUCAUUUGAGUGAAUCCUCCACCACUGUCCCAAACUCUUCUAAUUACUUCUUCACAUUCUAAUUGUUCAGACCAAAAUUCUUCAAAGAAAAACCUUUUUUUCUUUUUCUUUUUCCAGCAUAAAUUUCCUGAGCGCUCACCAAGCUCAAUAAUGAAGGGUAGAUGAUCAGAGUUUCUUGAGGCAAGAUGACGAACCAAAACAUGGUUAAAAAGAUUAAGGCAAGCCUCGUUCAUAAAAGCUCGAUCAAUUCUUUCUUGCACAUUCUCUUCCCCUUGUCUCUUGUUGUCCCAAGUAAACUGAGCUCCCACAAACGAAACUUCCCUCAAAACACAGGCAUUAAUAGCUUCUUGAACCAGCAUCUGGCUAAGGGAUUUAGAUCUUCCUCCGCUCUUUUCUUCUUCUCUAAGAAUCUCAUUAAAGUUACCUAGCCUCCAAUCAACCAAGGUUCAUUGCAGAUGUUUCCCAAUCUACGAAGUAGCUCCCAAGAGUGUUUUCGAUCUCUAAGAUUAGGAUUUCCAUAGAAACCAGUGAAUCGACAUCGAAUAUGGGAGUUCCUUACAAUUCCUAAGUGGAUUCGGAGGAAGCGGUGCGUAUGGAGGAGUGCCUCAUGCUGGAGGAAGUAGUCAAUUUGGAACAAGUAGUGUUGAAGUUGUGCCUGAAGACAAUCAAAGUGAUGGAUUCAUAACAAGUGAUGGUCAUGGAGGAAGUGAUGCUAAUCUGCCGGAAUAUUAGCUAAUAUUAGUUUUUUUUUAUUUAUAUGUAUUUCAAUAAUUGUUAGUGUCAUUGUUUUACUUUAUGUUGUUUAU